UUUUUGAAACCGCCUGAAUUUUGGAAACUAAUCAAUUCUCUCAAUCAAUUGAAAUCAUUUUCCACUCAAACCCUAAAUCAUUCUUUCAGCCGUUUCUCUCUGGCUUCACUCUACAUCCUCUUCAAAUCAAACUUGGAUCCAUGGAUUAUUUUCAAUGAAGAAUCUAACUGAUGUUGCUGAAUGUUUGAUAUCCCUCUCCAAUUGCGAAGCAUUGAUACGACUCCAUCAUACAUCGAUUUUGUCUUCAUCAUCCUUCGAAACUGAAGCAUCAUGAUGUGUGUGGAAUUUAAUCCUGUGGAUGAUAAUUAUUUCAUUAGCGAUUCCAUAGACGGCAAAGUACGCAUAUGGGAUGUGUAUGAAAAGUUUGUUAUCUUAUUUAUAGGUGAGAGUUCAACUAGGUUAGGAUCUACAGGUCGUCUCACAAAGCUAUAUUGAAGCACGACGAAAUUGGUGCCUUCCAUAUGCAUCAGUGGUCGUAUUCUGACAAAAGGCUUCCGGCUACAAGUGGCAGCUCCCGGUGCAUAAAGGCAGCAUUGAGUGUUUGUUUAAUGGUGGAAAUGGAGAAUCUGGCAACCCAGACAGCAGAGCCGACUGAUUUAGGGACCAGCUAUGUUAAUCCAGCAAGCACGGUUAUCAUGUUCUUUGUUCCAAUUUGCUAGAUCCAGAGUUUAAACAUUGGCUGAUAUUUAUUAUUCUUGUGUUUAGAGGCGUUGGUGUUGAUUAAGAUAAGAUAAUUUAUAUUGUGUCUAACUGUAUUAACCAUAUAAAAACUUUAUAUAUAUACAGUAAGUUACUACUUGUUUGAUUCUGCUUGAUGAAUAAUGUUGUAUGUUGCUUGACUAGGUUGCUGGACACUUCACGUAUGGUGUAAUGGCAAUUUCGGCUGCCACAUUUGUGUUUUGGAGUACUGUUGGUACACGUAUAUUACCGGUCGCUUUUCAGCAAGGAAGUGCCAUGUCAUUAGCAUUGCAGCUCUCAUGCAUCUGAUGAGCAUUUCGAGCUAAAUUCAAAUGAGAAAUGGUCUGAAACCGAUGUACUGAAGCUAGCUGCUGCAGGAGAAUCCAACACACUUCAUCCAAUUGGGAAAGCUAUUCUGGAAGCUGCCCGGGCUGCUAAAUGUUCUAACGUAAAGGCUGAUGAUGGAACAUUUAUGGAAGAACCUGGAUCUGGUGCCGUAGCCUCUUGUGGGAAGAAGAUGGUUUCUGUCGGUACAUUGGAAUGGGUUAGAAGGCAUGGAGUUGCUGAGAAUCCGUUUAUAGAAACUGAAGAAUUUAAAAAUCAAUCAGUUGUGUAUGUCGGGAUAGAUGGUGUGCUUGCAGGUCUUAUUUAUGUUGAGGAUCAGAUAAGAGAAGAUGCUGCAAAAUCAUUCUUGCGUUCAAAAGAUUCCAACCCAUGACCUCCAUAUAUUAGUAUAUGUUAUAUGUUUGUGUUAAGCCACCCGCGAAGCUCGCGGGAUCUUAGGCUAGUUAGUUAUAAAUUAAAACGAGAUCUUUUAAGUUUUAAAAGUAUAAAUAUAAAAAAAGCUGUUUCUCUUCUGUUCCAACAUGCCGGUUUUGUUUUUGUUGUAAUAACAUGAAUAAAGAAACGUACCAGAACAUGAACUUGUAG
rnacentral:lncRNA from 1 species